GUUCGCAGCACCAUAUUGCUACGGUUUCCUGAACAACAGACUACAGGCCUACUGCAAGCAGAACCUGGAGAUGAAUGUGAUGGUGGAGAACAUCCUCCAGAUCCUAGAGGCAGCGGACAAAACUCAGACCUGGGACAUGAAGAAGCACUGAAUGCACAUCCUCAUCUGCCAGUUCAUCAAGUGCCAUGUGGGAGUAUCUUUUGUCUUAACAAACCAAGGAAAAUACUACGAGAUGGGCUCCUACAUCUAGGACCAGGGUGUUGACCUACUCUCUCUACCGAAGCCCUCUGUGUCUGCUCCCUUCCUCAUGAGUCAUUCCAUUACACCAGUGAAGGUUGGUAAAAGGAGAAAUGUGGAGGAUGGGUUCUCUCCACCAGCCACCACUGCCU